rnacentral:rRNA from 1 species
UACGUAGGGUGCGAGCGUUAAUCGGAAUUACUGGGCGUAAAGCGUGCGCAGGCGGUUUUGUAAGCCAGAUGUGAAAUCCCCGGGUUUAACCUGGGAAUGGCAUUUGGGACUGCAAGGCUCGAGUGCGGCAGAGGAGACUGGAAUUCCUGGUGUAGCGGUGAAAUGCGCAGAUAUCAGGAGGAACACCGAUGGCGAAGGCAGGUCUCUGGGCCGAUACUGACGCUGAGGAGCGAAAGCGUGGGGAGCGAACAGG